ACAAAACUCCCAAACCUUUGUGAACAUACCAUCGUUGCUUCGGCGGGACUCGCCCCGGGGCGCCCCGGCGGCCGCGUCUUCUCGCGCCGCCGCUGCCCCGGAACCAGGCGCCCGCCGAGGGACCCAAACUCUUGUCUUUACAGUGGGAUAUUCUGAGUUAUUAUACAAAUAAGCAAUCAAAACUUUCAGCAACGGAUCUCUUGGCUCUGGCAUCGAUGAAGAACGCAGCGAAAUGCGAUAAGUAAUGUGAAUUGCAGAAUUCAGUGAAUCAUCGAAUCUUUGAACGCACAUUGCGCCCGCCAGCACUCUGGCGGGCAUGCCUGUCCGAGCGUCAUUUCAACCCUCAGGACCCCCUUCCGGGGGGGACCUGGCGUUGGGGAUCGGCCCGCCCCCGUGCGCGGCCGGCCCCGAAUCACAGUGGCGGCCCCAUCGCGAGCUCCCCUGCGCAGUAGCGAUACCUCGCAGCCGGAUAGCGGUGCGGCCACGCCGUAAAACACCCCACUUCUUCAAGGUUGACCUCGGAUCAGGUAGGAAUACCCGCUGAACUUAA
rnacentral:rRNA from 1 species